rnacentral:rRNA from 1 species
UUCCACCCAAAUGGCCAGAACGCUGGCGGCGUGCCUCAUACAUUUCAGGUCGGAGCGGAGUUCAAGGAGCUUGCUCCUGUAACUUAGCAGGCGGACUGGGUGAGUAACACGUGGGCAACCUGCCUAAUAAAGACUGGGAUAACUUCGUGGAAACCGGAGCUAAUACCGGAUAAUUCUUUUCCUCUCAUGAGGAAAAGUUGAAAGACGGUUUACGCUGUCGCUUAUAGAUGGGCCCGCGGCGCAUUAGCUAGUUGGUGAGGUAACGGCUCACCAAGGCAACGAUGCGUAGCCGACCUUGAGAGGGUGAUCGGCCACACUGGGACUGAGACACGGCCCAGACUCCUACGGGAGGCAGCAGUAGGGAAUCUUCCGCAAUGGACGAAAGUCUGACGGAGCAACGCCGCGUGAGUGAUGAAGGUUUUCGGAUCGUAAAACUCUGUUGUUAGGGAAGAACAAGUAUGAGAGUAACUGCUCGUACCUUGACGGUACCUAACCAGAAAGCCACGGCUAACUACGUGCCAGCAGCCGCGGUAAUACGUAGGUGGCAAGCGUUGUCCGGAAUUAUUGGGCGUAAAGCGCGCGCAGGCGGUCUUUUAAGUCUGAUGUGAAAGCCCACGGCUCAACCGUGGAGGGUCAUUGGAAACUGGGAGACUUGAGUGCAGAAGAGAAGAGUGGAAUUCCACGUGUAGCGGUGAAAUGCGUAGAGAUGUGGAGGAACACCAGUGGC